UACCAAACCCGAAGGGCAACAUCUAACCUCCCUGUUCUCAUUUCAGGGGUGAUCCGUUUCAGGUGAAAAUGAAUGUUGCAAUCACUUCUGGCUACCUCGCUUAUGACUUGUUGUUUUUUGCUCGUCAUUGGAAGGAGAUGAGAGACCCUUAUAUGGUCUGCCACCACUUUGCAGUGUUCUACUCUUAUGGAUAUGUACUGAACCGAGGAGUGCUGCCAUAUUUCGCCAAUUUCCGGUUAAUAUCUGAACUUUCAACACCCUUUGUAAAUCAGAGGUG